GGUUAAGCGACUAAGCGUACACGGUGGAUGCCCUGGCAGUCAGAGGCGAUGAAGGACGUGCUAAUCUGCGAUAAGCGUCGGUAAGGUGAUAUGAACCGUUAUAACCGGCGAUUUCCGAAUGGGGAAACCCAGUGUGUUUCGACACACUAUCAUUAACUGAAUCCAUAGGUUAAUGAGGCGAACCGGGGGAACUGAAACAUCUAAGUACCCUGAGGAAAAGAAAUCAACCGAGAUUCCCCCAGUAGCGGCGAGCGAACGGGGAGGAGCCCAGAGCCUGAAUCAGUGUGUGUGUUAGUGGAAGCGUCUGGAAAGGCGCGCGAUACAGGGUGACAGCCCCGUACACAAAAAUGCACAUAUUGUGAGCUCGAUGAGUAGGGCGGGACACGUGGUAUCCUGUCUGAAUAUGGGGGGACCAUCCUCCAAGGCUAAAUACUCCUGACUGACCGAUAGUGAACCAGUACCGUGAGGGAAAGGCGAAAAGAACCCCGGCGAGGGGAGUGAAAAAGAACCUGAAACCGUGUACGUACAAGCAGUGGGAGCCUCUUUUAUGGGGUGACUGCGUACCUUUUGUAUAAUGGGUCAGCGACUUAUAUUCUGUAGCAAGGUUAACCGAAUAGGGGAGCCGAAGGGAAACCGAGUCUUAACUGGGCGUUAAGUUGCAGGGUAUAGACCCGAAACCCGGUGAUCUAGCCAUGGGCAGGUUGAAGGUUGGGUAACACUAACUGGAGGACCGAACCGACUAAUGUUGAAAAAUUAGCGGAUGACUUGUGGCUGGGGGUGAAAGGCCAAUCAAACCGGGAGAUAGCUGGUUCUCCCCGAAAGCUAUUUAGGUAGCGCCUCGUGAAUUCAUCUCCGGGGGUAGAGCACUGUUUCGGCAAGGGGGUCAUCCCGACUUACCAACCCGAUGCAAACUGCGAAUACCGGAGAAUGUUAUCACGGGAGACACACGGCGGGUGCUAACGUCCGUCGUGAAGAGGGAAACAACCCAGACCGCCAGCUAAGGUCCCAAAGUCAUGGUUAAGUGGGAAACGAUGUGGGAAGGCCCAGACAGCCAGGAUGUUGGCUUAGAAGCAGCCAUCAUUUAAAGAAAGCGUAAUAGCUCACUGGUCGAGUCGGCCUGCGCGGAAGAUGUAACGGGGCUAAACCAUGCACCGAAGCUGCGGCAGCGACACUAUGUGUUGUUGGGUAGGGGAGCGUUCUGUAAGCCUGUGAAGGUGUGCUGUGAGGCAUGCUGGAGGUAUCAGAAGUGCGAAUGCUGACAUAAGUAACGAUAAAGCGGGUGAAAAGCCCGCUCGCCGGAAGACCAAGGGUUCCUGUCCAACGUUAAUCGGGGCAGGGUGAGUCGACCCCUAAGGCGAGGCCGAAAGGCGUAGUCGAUGGGAAACAGGUUAAUAUUCCUGUACUUGGUGUUACUGCGAAGGGGGGACGGAGAAGGCUAUGUUGGCCGGGCGACGGUUGUCCCGGUUUAAGCGUGUAGGCUGGUUUUCCAGGCAAAUCCGGAAAAUCAAGGCUGAGGCGUGAUGACGAGGCACUACGGUGCUGAAGCAACAAAUGCCCUGCUUCCAGGAAAAGCCUCUAAGCAUCAGGUAACAUCAAAUCGUACCCCAAACCGACACAGGUGGUCAGGUAGAGAAUACCAAGGCGCUUGAGAGAACUCGGGUGAAGGAACUAGGCAAAAUGGUGCCGUAACUUCGGGAGAAGGCACGCUGAUAUGUAGGUGAAGCGACUUGCUCGUGGAGCUGAAAUCAGUCGAAGAUACCAGCUGGCUGCAACUGUUUAUUAAAAACACAGCACUGUGCAAACACGAAAGUGGACGUAUACGGUGUGACGCCUGCCCGGUGCCGGAAGGUUAAUUGAUGGGGUUAGCGCAAGCGAAGCUCUUGAUCGAAGCCCCGGUAAACGGCGGCCGUAACUAUAACGGUCCUAAGGUAGCGAAAUUCCUUGUCGGGUAAGUUCCGACCUGCACGAAUGGCGUAAUGAUGGCCAGGCUGUCUCCACCCGAGACUCAGUGAAAUUGAACUCGCUGUGAAGAUGCAGUGUACCCGCGGCAAGACGGAAAGACCCCGUGAACCUUUACUAUAGCUUGACACUGAACAUUGAGCCUUGAUGUGUAGGAUAGGUGGGAGGCUUAGAAGUGUGGACGCCAGUCUGCAUGGAGCCGACCUUGAAAUACCACCCUUUAAUGUUUGAUGUUCUAACGUUGACCCGUGAUCCGGGUUGCGGACAGUGUCUGGUGGGUAGUUUGACUGGGGCGGUCUCCUCCUAAAGAGUAACGGAGGAGCACGAAGGUUGGCUAAUCCUGGUCGGACAUCAGGAGGUUAGUGCAAUGGCAUAAGCCAGCUUGACUGCGAGCGUGACGGCGCGAGCAGGUGCGAAAGCAGGUCAUAGUGAUCCGGUGGUUCUGAAUGGAAGGGCCAUCGCUCAACGGAUAAAAGGUACUCCGGGGAUAACAGGCUGAUACCGCCCAAGAGUUCAUAUCGACGGCGGUGUUUGGCACCUCGAUGUCGGCUCAUCACAUCCUGGGGCUGAAGUAGGUCCCAAGGGUAUGGCUGUUCGCCAUUUAAAGUGGUACGCGAGCUGGGUUUAGAACGUCGUGAGACAGUUCGGUCCCUAUCUGCCGUGGGCGCUGGAGAACUGAGGGGGGCUGCUCCUAGUACGAGAGGACCGGAGUGGACGCAUCACUGGUGUUCGGGUUGUCAUGCCAAUGGCACUGCCCGGUAGCUAAAUGCGGAAGAGAUAAGUGCUGAAAGCAUCUAAGCACGAAACUUGCCCCGAGAUGAGUUCUCCCUGACCCUUUAAGGGUCCUGAAGGAACGUUGAAGACGACGACGUUGAUAGGCCGGGUGUGUAAGCGCAGCGAUGCGUUGAGCUAACCGGUACUAAUGAACCGUGAGGCUUAACCUU
rnacentral:rRNA from 1 species